UACGUAGGGUGCAAGCGUUGUACCGGAAUUUAUUGGGCGUAAAGAGCUCGUAGGCGGUUCGUCGCGUUCGGCUGUGUAAAUCCCGAGGCUCAACCUCGGGUCUGCAGUCGAUACGGGCGGACUGGAGUUCGGCAGGGGAGACUGGAAUUCCUGGGUGUAGCGGUGAAAUGCGCAGAUAUCAGGAGGAACACCGGUGGCGAAGGCGGGUCUCUGGGCCGAUACUGACGCUGAGGAGCGGAAAGCGUGGGGAGCGAACAGG
rnacentral:rRNA from 1 species